rnacentral:lncRNA from 1 species
GAAGAAUGUGAGUCGUCAAAGUAAAGAAUAUAAAAGGAAAUAACAGGGAAUAAAUUUGAGCUGAGGUAAAGCAUGGAAGUUGAAAUUCAAAUUCUACAAGUGAUAGGAAACCACUGAAGAUAUUUUAGCAGGGUUGCGAUGUCAUCUGAAGUUUUCCUUAGGACUUGAAGACAAGAGAAUGAGGGCGGUAAGAGAAGAAAAUAAGUGCAACAUGCCAGAAAUCCAGUAAAGCAGUUCAAGUAUCAGAAGAGCGUGAAUCAAAACCAAGUGCAAGAAGAGGCACCUUGACAUUGAACUGAAGGCCACCAGGUACUCACUGGGUCAAUGACUCUUCUCAUUUUUAUUCUCCUGCCAGUGCUUCCAAUCGCUGAACUGAACUGGGAACAAAUCAACAAGGGAAACCAAGAGAUGCAUUCCUUGAAGUUCAGCCUCCAGGCCUCAAGUAAGGCAGAGGAAGAGAAUACAUAGAUCUGUGGAGAAGAGUGGUGAUGGUGGGAGCUGCCAAUAAAGAACUAUCAAAAAAGGAUGAUGCAACAGAAAAGCCGUCACCAGAUACCAGCACCUUAAUGUUGGACUUCUCAGCCUCCAGAACUGUAAGAAAUAAAUCCCUGUUCUUUAUAAAUUACCCAGUCUCAGGUAUCCUGCUAUAGCAGCACAAAAUGGACUAUGAUAGAAAAUUGGUAUGAAGGAGUAGUACCAUUGUUAUAACAAAUACCUAAAAAUGGAAGCCACUCUGGAACUGGGUAAGGGGUAGAGUAUGGAAGAAUUUAGAGGAGCAGGCUAGAAAAAGCCUAAAUUGCUGUGUAUUACUCCAGGAUGGUAAGAAAUAAAUCUCUGUUCUUUAUAAAUUGCCCAGACUCACAGCACAAAACAAAUUAAGACAUUAAGAUUUGCCCCAUUCUUAGAAUUCAUUUCUUCCAUUUUCCCUUUAAUUAAAUCAAUGCCAGCAUCUAAGCAGUGUGCACCUUUUGACCAUAGUCUUUCUAAUUGACCAGAAGCUUAGAUGUGGAAAAUGCAAAAACUAUGCACAUUUCUGAUGGGUUUAACUUCUGAGAAAUUUUUACAAGGUUUUCCUUAUUUUAUCUGCUCCAGUAAACCUGUGGUUUCAUGAACAGGCCUAGAAUUUGAGAUUCAGCUUCUAAACUUCAAAGGUGACCUUUCAACCCAUUUGUUUAUAGACUCGGUAUUAACCUUUUGAGUUCUAGAAUAGGGUUUUAGAACUUACUUUCAUAAAAGUUUAUAUAGUCAAUUCCAUUCAUUUAUGCUAAGGACAUAGAAUAUUUCUAGAUUGCACAAUAUGUUUCUGUGGGAAUUGAAUGGAAAUCCAGGUUUCCUGACAAGAAACAAAGGAUCUUUGGGAGGCCGAGACAGGCGGAUCACGAGGUCAGGAGAUCGAGACCAUCCUGGCUAACACGGUGAAACCCCGUCUCUACUAAAAAUACAAAACUUAGCCGGGCAUGGUGGCGUGCGCCUGUAGUCCCAGCUACACGGGAGGCUGAGGCAGGAGAAUGGUGUGAACCCGGGAGGCGGAGCUUGCAGUGAGUCGAGAUCACGCCACUGCACUCCAGCCUGGGUGACAGAGCGAGACUCCGUCUCAAAAAAAAAAAAAGAAAAAAAAGAAACAAAGGAUCUCUUAGUCUCUCUUGAUCCCAGUCACUUCUGAAGAAAAAAAAUUAUUUACCUGAAGUCCAUUGCUUCCUUGUGGGAUUCUUUUUUUUUAAAUGCUGGAUUGUGGAUUAAAUAAAAAGAUCUGAGAAAUAGGUCAGAAAUUAAAUCCUGGUGUUGUCAUGGUGUUUUUUAAAUAGCACCCUUGAAAUUGGUUGCAGAACAUACAUUUUAUCUGAUUCUAAUUAUGUGGAAUUUCGAAGUCAUUUUGGUAACAGAACUACUCUAACCUGUUAUUAAACUCAGGAUUUUUUUAAGAAAUAAAAAUUGCUUGGUAAGAAUGUUAACGUUUAAAAAACUAUUAAUGAAUCAGACCAACAAAGCCUACUCAAAUGAAUCUGUAUCUUUAUUCAUGGUUCAAGCAUUACUUCCACUUAACUAAAAAUGAAUAUAUCCUCUGGAACUUAAAAUAAAGGUUGAAAAAAAAUGAAUGCAUAUUUAAUCUUUUAUGGUUACAGAUAUAAUAGAAAAAUUGUUUCUGCCUCAAAACCCUACUUUUAAAUAAUUAAUGAAAUAUAGACAAUAAUGUCUCUAAAAUUGCAUUUCCCAGGGAUAUAUCUAUUUAACUCCUGAUUCUUUUGUUAACAUCACCAAUACAUGGGAAAAGAAACUGAAGCUUUUUAAAUUACAUGCUAAUAUAUGGCCAUCAAUUUUAAGGGAUUUUGAAAAGUCCGCAAUAGUAAAAAUAGAGUAGGAAAAAUUAUAGUGAAGAAAUAAAAUAAAAUAAAUUAGCUAAACAAUUAGGCUCUAUUUAUUUGAAGGAAGUAUUUAGAAGUAUGUGCUGAUUCUUAUGUUCUCAUACUUCAAGAUGAGAUCAUGUUGGCAUGCACUAUUAGGGCCCUCACUCUUGUCCAUAUUGUUUUGGCAAGCUUUAAGCAGGUGGCUCUGUAAUAUGGUAAUACCUUCUCUUUGGAUAACUCUUCAUUUCAAAGCAAUCUGUAGACAUUACACCUUUAAUUACAGGAGACCUCAAGGCACAAAGCAAAAGAAGAAUGAAUUUCAUCAUGGGAAUAUACAAAGCAAGGCAUUAACAUCUAUAGUUAAAUAAGUCAGCAUCAAACUUCUUGCUGUACCACCCACCAUUUCACACAGUUCAGCUAGCUGACUCGUUCAUACUUUAAGGCUAAUCAGAAUAAAUUAAUGAUUCAUCACUAAUAAAGAUGCAGAGUGUGUACCUUUAUUCUUCAGUAGGGUAACGUGACCCUUCUGAGUACUUCUGGAGCAAAUGUGUAUGAAGUGCUAGGUUUUUUGUCACUAAGUCUAUGUACUCAGAAAAGACACAAAUUUUCAGUAUUCUGGUUUACCACUUGCCAGGCAAAGGAAACUGUAAAUAAAUGUUUCACCACAUAUUUAUGUGAAAAAAAUUAAUUGGUGGAUGGGCUUUGUUGUGAUUCUUAAUAAUAAUGAAUCAUAGUUUUACACAUAUAGUAGGAUGAAGCAUUUGAGAUUUGAUUCUAGCAUUUCUGUCUAUGUGUUUAUAAUUUAUCCAAUGGAAGUAUUAAAAGAAAAGCUUUUUGGGAGGCCUUAUUUGAGUUCAGAAGUCUCACACGCACUUCUGUCAAGUGAUGUAAUAGGAAUGUGUUUAAGAUCAGCAGAUGAUAUAUUGAGUGUAAACAUAAUGUGCUCAUGAUGAAAGCCAAAACACUAAUUUAAUUGAUUGGAAGAAAACAGAAAUUCACCAGGAGUCAAAAUCCCAAAUAAGAGGUCCGUGUUUUCAAGGCUUAUUUUAAUAGUAUUAACUACUUCAACAAAUUAUUUUUCUUUGCUUUUUUCCAUUCACUUAAAAAUAUUUAAUGGUUUUAUUGAACUAUAUUUUACAUAUAAAAUUCGCCCGUUGAAAAUAUGCAACUUGAUGAUUUUUAGUAAAAUUUAGAAUUGUGCAAAUAUGAUAGAUUCCAUUUUAGAUAAUUUCUGUCAUUCUAAAAAGAUCUUUAAUGUCCAUUUUUAGUGAAAUCUGCUCCCACCCCCAGUCCCAGCAAACACUGAUAAAAUUUUCAUCUACUUAUUUUUGCUUUUCCUAGAAAUUUCAUAUAAAAAGUGUGGUUUGCAAAAUAAAAUCCCCUGCACUUGUGAAUGUUAUAUCACAUUGGAAAGGGGACUUCGCCAACGUAAAUUGCGUACAAAUGCGGAGAUUAUCCAGGACUAUCUGGAUGGGCCCAAUGUAAUCAAUUCAGCCCUUAAAAGCACAGAAACUUUCUCAGCUGGGUCAGAGAGAUACAAUAAUGGAAGAAGAGUCAGAGAGAUGCAAUGCAAGAAAGACUCAGUCUGCCAUUGAUGGCUUUGAAGUUAGAGGAAGGGAGCCAUGAGUCAAGAAAUGGAGGGGACCUCUAGAAGGGAACAGUCAGAGAAAUAGAUUACCCUCUAGAGCCUCCAGAAAGAGACACGGCCCUGUCAAUUUAGCUUAGUGAGACCCAUGUCAGGCUUAUGGCCUCCAAAAUGAUAAGAUAAUACAUUUGUAUUGUUUUAUGUCAUUAAGUUUGUAGGAAUUAUUAUGGUAGCAAUAUAAAACUCAUAGAAAUGACUUCUUUCAUUUUGUAUUAUUUUGAGAUGCAUUCAUUUUGUUGCAUGGAUCAUUCUAUUUUAUUGCUGAGUAUCAUUCUAUUGUAUUGACACCAAACUUUGUUUUUCCAAUCACCUGUUGGUGGGCAUUUGGGUCGUUUCCAGUUUUUGGCUAUUGUAAGUGAUGAUUUUAUAAACAUUUAUGUACAAAUCUUUUUGUGGAUAUCUAAAUAUAUGAUUCUGUUUCUCUUGGAUAAAUACCUAAGAUUAGAAUUGCUGAGUCAUAUGGUAAAGGGAUACUUAACUUUUAAAACCUCCCAAACUGUUCUUCAAAAUGGUUGUGCCAUUUUACAUCCCCACCAAUAAUGUAUAAAGGUUCCAGUUUCUCGAAAUAUUUGCCAACACUUGGUAUGGUCAGUCUUUUUGAUUCUAGUCAUUCUAGUGGGUAUAUAAUGAUAUCUCAUUGUAAUUUUAAUUUGCAUUAUCCUAAUGACUGAUGAUGUUGAGCAUGUCUUCAUUUGGUGUUUUUAUUAUUAUUUUUAGCCAUACAUAUAUCUUCUUUAGUGAAAUGCCUAUUGAAAUAUUUUUCCCAUUUUCUUGUUGAGUUAUUUGUCACCUUAUUACUGAGCUUCAAAAGUUCUUUAUGUAUUCUGUUCAAUAGCCAGAUGACCUCACCUUCUAGCAUUCACACCCUUGAGUAGUGCCUUCCUCAUUGCUCCAGGAUUGGUCUGACCAACAGAACCAAACAACAUAUGGCAGAAAUGGUGGUAUAUCACUUCCAAGGUUAGGUUAUAAGAGACUGUGUUUUCCAUCUCAGCUUCUUUUUCUCCCCUGCCAAACCCCUUUGCAUCAUUCAUUCUGGAGAAUCCAGCUGCCGUGUCUUGAGGACAAUCAGAUGGCCUAUAAAGGGCCCCUGGGACAAGGAACUGAGGUAUUUUUCCAACAGCCAACAAGGAACCGAGGCCUGCCAACAACCGUAUGAGUGAGCACGGAAUUGUCUAGCUCCAGAUGACUGUGGCUUUGGCCAACAGCUUGUCUUGAGACACCCUGAGCCAGCACCACUCAGCUAAGCCACUUCCAGAUUCCUGCCCCUCAAAACUGUAUGGCUUGUUGUUUUGAGAUGCUAAGUAUUAAGAGUAAUUCAGCAAUAGAUGACAACUAUAUUCUGGAUACAAGUGUUUAUUAUAUGUAUGAUUUGCAAAUAUAUUUCUCACUUUGUGGUUUGUCUUUCCAUUUUUGAAAUGGGAUCUUUCGAAUACCAUCAGUUUUCAAUUUCGAUGAAGUCAAAUUCGCCAAUUUUUAUUUUGUGAAUCAGGCUUUCAGAAUCAUGUCUAAGAAAUUCUUGCCUAAGGACACACAUUGUUUAUCGGAUGUCUUCUUCUAAAAUGUGGAUAGUUUUAAUUUUUCUACUUAUGUCUCAGAUCCAUGUUUAUUUAAAUUUGUAUAUGAUGUAAAGUAAGCAUCUGAGAUUUUUUGUUUUGGUUUGGUUUGGUUUUUGUUUUGCAUAUAGCAAUCCAUUUGUUCUAACACCACUUGUGGUAAAGAUUAUUGUUUUCCUCUUGAAUUGCCUAGGCAUCUUUGUUAAAAAUCAAUUUACUGUAAAUGUGUGGGUUUUUUACUGGGUUCUUCAUCCAGUUUUAUUGAUCUACAUAUCUAUUAUUAUACUGAUGUCAUACUGCAUUGAUUACUGUAACUUUGUAUUAAAAUUUGAAAUUGCACAGGUCCUCCAACUUCAUGCUUCUUUUUCAAAACGUAAAUUGGAAUCAUGGCUAUUUGUUAUUAACAAACUCUUCUUUCAACAGCAUAAUAAUAUUUUUGAAAUGAAUAAAACAGAUGAAUCAGUUUUGAUAAAAAUUAAGAUAUCCAAAAUGUUUUCAGAGGUUUUUACCAUAGUAAAAAAAAAAUACAAACUUAAAUAACUAUUAUUCACCUAUGGUUUUCUCAAUGGCUACAUUUCAUAAUGUUAGGACUGAUUAACACCAAAAGCAAUAUCCAAUAUAAAAAAGCAAUGAUGUCUUUUGAAAGGAUUUUAACUAUUUAUUGAUAGCAUGUAACUUUAUUAAGAAAACAGGUAACAUGAACAAAAAUUUAAAUUAUUUUUCAGCACUUAUCUAUUGGUCAUGAGAAUUUAGAAGCUAAAUCCUCAUAUUGCUUUUAGUGGCAUAAAUUGUUCCAAAAAAUGUUUGGAGAAUAAUUCAUAGAUUUCAAGGAAUAUUUUAAGAUUACUUUUGUACUGUUUAUCAAAACUGCUUAUUAUUUUCUGUUUUUUUUUGUUUUUUUAUUGUUUUUGCUUUUCCUGAAAGAGUACAAAUAUCAAUUGAAUUAAACUUUUCUGUAUAUUAUUUCAAAGUAUUAAAAAUAGUACCCAGUGGCAAUUUUUUGUUCAUCAAGACACUGUGAAAAAUUGCCAAUAUUAUGCAAAAAUAAGGUUGUUUUUAUUAGGACUAUUCCUAUUUACUACUUAAAUUGGAUAAGCUUUAAAGCAUCAUGUACAGACUUAAAAAGCUUUGUCCUUAUUGACACUCAAAAAACCCAGGAAAUCUGGACAUUUAAUUUUCUACUACCUCUUUCAUGAAAAAGCAUAAUAAAGAUUUUCUUGUUUUACUCUCUAUGUUCCUGUUGUAUCAAUGCUAUCAGUCUAAGAAGAAUCAUUUAAAAGUUUGAUUAAGUGAAAUAUCUGAGAGUUAUUAGCUGGUACACUCAUUUUGCAGUCUGUGUAAACAGGAUGAUUACCUCUAGUGUUGGAUCUCUGUCACUAUCAGACAAUUCCAAAAUGAACGAAAAUGUCAAAAUCUGAAAUUUCCUGUUUACUUCUGACUCUGAAAAGAGUCAACAAGGCAUAUGUGACAUUUAGCCUAAUUACCAUGGUUGCAAAAAAUCAUUUAGAAAAGUGUCAGUGAACAUAAACUAAUAUCCUUCAUCUCAUAUUAACCGGUUUAAUAGUUUUCUCUAAAUCUUUAUGGAAGAUAAUUUGGAAAGGUCUUUCAUUGUCAGUUUACAUUUGAGUUGGGUUGUGUAAAUAUGUGGAAGUAUAUCUGGGCAUCUUUCAAGAUCAGUUAAUUUGGGGUUAGGGUUAAUCCAAAAUUCUUCUAUUUGGCAUAUACUAGCGUAUCUACUAAAAUUCAAUAAAAUGGGUAGCCUAUAUAGAGGUAUUACUUAUAUAAAUUAUAAGAAGGCUCCAAAAAUGAUUAGAAUAUGUUAAAUGACACAUGUAACAAGAUAAUAGGCAAAUUACUGAAAAUUGCUUUUCCUAUGAGAGCUAAUGCUAAACUUCAGUUUUUGCUGAACUUUAGUUUUUGCUGUUAUGUCUGCCACUAGAUGAGGUAUGUCUGAAUAUACCACCCAGAGUGCAGGCAGAAAUUUCUAUGUUUGAAAAUUUUAAAAAUAAAUAAAGCUAGAUUUAUUUCAUGAAAUAAAAGUGUUUUGAAUCUCACUUAAUUAAAUAAAAAUGGUAAAGAACAAAGCACAGUGAUUUCAAUGCUGAGAUCUGUGCUCCACAGACAAAGAUUCCAUUUCUGACCGACACAUUGAUAUGCUUUCAGGAAGCAGUAAUGCCAUCAAAACAUUAAGUUCAGAUACCCUGAACUCUUUACUGACUGAUUUGUCAAUCAGCCCUCUGCAUUUUUUUCUGAUCCAAUCUUUUAUUACAUAUGCAUUUGUAAAAAUUGAAGUCCUGCCAUUUGUUACUUUAUUUUUCUGUAUUUAUAUAUUUUAAAUUUUAUUAAGAAAACAGGUAACAUGAACAAACAUUUAAACUAUUUUUCAGCACUUACCUGUUAGUCAUGAGAAUUUAGAAACUAAAUUUUCAUAAUGCUGUUAGUGGCAUAGGAAAUUGUUCCAAAAAAAUGUUUGGAGAAUAAUUCAUAGAUUUCAAAGAAUAUUUUAAGAUUACUUCUGUACUAUUUAUCAAAAACUGCUUGUUGUUUUCUGGGUUUUGGUUUUGGUUUUGGUUUUGUUUUGCUUUUCCUGAAAGAGUACAAAUGUCAAUUGAAUUAAACUUUUCUGUAUAUUAUUUCAAAGUAUUAAAAAUAGUACCCAGUGGCAAUUUUUUUCUCAUCGAGACACUAUGAAAAAUUGUCAAUAUUAUGCAAAAAUAAGGUUGUUUUUCUUAUUACUAUUCCUAUUUACUACUUAAACUGGAUUAACUUUAAAUGGUCCUACUUAAACUGAUUCCUCAAUCGGACAUUUAUUCUACGUUAUACUAAUCUUUUUUCUUUUUCAAAUGUUAUAUUUUAAGUUUAUAAAUUUGUGUACCAUUCAGCAGCUGGGAGAGUAAUACAGGAAGGACAUUAUUUUCCACCAAGUAAAAUAUAGCACACAAAAUGUUAGAAGAGGAGAGCUUGGAUGGUUAGGCGAAUUAUGACAAGCCUUCCAUACCUCUCUAUGUCCAAGGAAAUAUAGAAUUUUUAAAAGGACUCUACUAUAUGCACCAUAUUUUAACUUCCGUUUACAUAGGAUGGGGGAUUUUUUUUACUUUUAAAAAGGAAAGCAAGGAGAGAGUUAGUAUCUAGCUUUGUUAUACUACAUCCUGAUUUUGCAUUGUUACACUAUUGUCCAAUGUUUUAUAAAGUAUGUUGUAACAAACAUUUGAUGGUGGGAGUCACGAGAGGCUAUGUGUAGCCAUAAUGAAGUGCUAGUCUAUCUAAACAGACUUGGUUUCUACUUUACCAAAUCAGUAACUUUUCUGAUAAGUGGUAAAUUUCUUCACACAUUUGAUCUUAUUUUGAGUUAAGGUUUGCAGAUUAUGUUAUAGUUCAUUGAAGUCCACAGCAGUUUUCAGUCUUUUCUAAGUCACAUUAAACAUGUAUCAUUAGGGGCAGAAUGGAAAUAUGCACAGCUAUUUUAAUAAAAGCUAGGAGGCCGGGUGCAGUGGCUCACGUCUGUAAUCCCGGCACUUUGGGAGGCUGAGGUGGGUAGAUCACCUGAGGUCAGGAGUUCAAGACCAGUCUGACCAACAUGGUGAAGCCCCAUCCCUACUAAAAUACAAAAAGUUAGCCGGACGUGGUGAUACAUGCCUGUAGUCCCAGCUACUUGGGAGGCUGAGGGAGGAGAAUCGUGUGAACCCGGAAGGUAGAGGUUGCAGUGAGCCGAGAUUAUGCCCUUGCACUCUAGCCUGGGCAACAAGAGUGAAACUCUGUCUCAAAAAAAAAAAGCUAGGACGUUCUCUUGGCAAAACCAAUAUUAUUAAUAAACAUAACCCUUUUUUUUGUUUGUUGCCUAUGAUGACAUUCUUAGAUUUCAAUAGAAAUGAGAAAUGUAAAUAAGCAGUCAUUUCACAAUUUAAUGGUUCAGACUAUGACAAGUUCUAGAAAUGAAAUUUCCUACCGUCAAUGAUCUCUGCCUUCCUAGCCUAGUUAACAUGGUAAGGAACAUCACUUCUGGUAAUCCAGUCAGAUGCCGUAUUCAGUGUGAGUGGCUGAGUGUAAGCAGACAUUUUUUCUUGUGUCUCACAUGACAUUGGCUUGGUCUAAGUCUUGUCUGGCAUCCUGUUAAGUCUAUAUGACACAACUUUUACUAUGCUUUUCCAGCUCAUUCUUUUCUCGAGUUAUGGACUAAAAAUGCAGAACUAAUAUUCCCAAAUGUUUUUACUAGACUUCUUCAGAACAUUAGGAGUACUAUAGAUAACACCAGUAUUAUUGUAUUGGUUUCUUUAAAUAGUUUUUGAGUUUCUGUUUGUUUUUUUUUUAACUGUCACAAGCAAUGUAUUGAAUAUAUAGGGAGUUAUAUUUUAACAGAAUUUCAAAAUAGAAAAAGAGCAUUUUACUUUUUUGGAUUCAUGGGAAUUUUCAAAAUCAUUAUUCAAAAAUAAUGCUUCUCAAAUUUAUUGAAUCAUAGUAUAUGCUCUUUGCUGGCACACUCAAAUCUGACUUUGAAUGUCAAAACUAAUUUUUUAUUGUUUCUCUGUAAUUUUCAGCAAGAUUACAGACCAAUAAUCAAAGGAAAUAAGGAGAUUAUGUGACACAGUGUCCUUUAUUCUUUUAGAGCAAACUUGGUAUUGUUAAAUCUACCUGUAACCAUUUGGCUUUUCUUUUUAAUGAGUGAAUGGUCUUGUAAUAAUUUUAAUUCUAGUAAAGAUUUUAUGUAUCAGUGAUAAAUUAGUGCUGCUAAGAUUUGAUUUAUAAUUUUAAAUAUAUGUAGACAGUAAAGAAAAUCUGCACAUAGGAAUUGUUUCAGAAAGAAUGAGUUCACUUUCUUUUAUAAUUAUUUGUGAUUCUAUGUGUGAUGGUAUGUGUAUUUAAGCCUACUUAUAUACAAUCAUAUAAGUUUUAAAAUAUAAGAUUAUCAUCAAUUUUUCAACUAAGAUAAAUUAUAUUUAAUUUGGGGCUUAAAAACUCAGGCAAUAAUAGAAAAUAAGGGUUCCCUUCUAAAUUUAUUGCUGUCAAGAUGAAAUACCAAAUAUCAUAAGCAUUGUCCUUUAUAAUUCCAAGUAUGUUUUACUUUUGAGAGUUUCGUGAUGUGCCAUUUGGCCUCUUGUUUUACCUCCUUGUUUGCCAAGACAAGUCUCAAAGGGGUGUAUGAAAGAUAUUUGGGGCCAAAUAAUAAAGUGUGGUUGAAAAACACUUAACCUCCUGUAAAUACAGUUUUACUGAGAGAAUAUCAAGAUUUGCAUCUCCAGCAAUAAUACCAGGUAGUCUUGUAAAAUUCCUGAUGUCUUUGCUUUACUUUGUUUAUAUGUAGAAUUUUAGAGGAUCAAUGAUGUUACAUGUAAGAUGGUACAUAAUUUAAGUUUCUAAGUUCAAUUUCUCUGUAAAUUAAAAAUCAGCAAAGUAGUGUUUGAUUUAAAUGAGACAUUUUCUUUGAAAGGAUUGUGUCAGAGAUUGUUGUCUAGAAGAAAAAAAAGACUUCCUUAACAUACACGGUACCUUAAAGAGAUUGUGGUUUGUAACUCAUUUGACAACUGUCUAUAAAAGUGGUUUCCAAUAUAUAUGAUAAUAAAUCUUUGCUUAG